GCCGACGUGUGUCACUCGUCUGCAACAUUCAAAUGCGCGGACGUUGGAAUCAAACGAUGUUCAACUAUUGACUCCUCGUCGCAUUCUUUGAAUCGUUUUGCAAAAAUCUGAACUGAUAAUGACCAAGACACGAGUGUGUAGUAUGUCUUUGCAAUCUGCAGCAAUGUUCCUUAAAAAAAAACACCUUUACGCAUUAGAGCCAUCCGACCACUUGUGUUGGGUGAGCAGUUCAUGAGCAGGGUUCACAUGAUGAGCAGGAGGAGGAGGAGGACAUCCUCUACAUAGCACCCGGAUUGGUCUGGACGCUACCUGUUGGAGAUAUACAGCUGUGAAGAAUUGCUGCGCUGAUGGAGUGGAAGCCAGGCUAGACAUUUCUUGGAUUUUGCUUUCCAAUGGACGUCUUUACAAGGGCGCUGCAUGCGUGUGUGUGAGAGUUGGUGUGUGUGUGUGUGUGUGUGUGUGUGUGUGUGUGUGUGUGUGUGUGUGUGUGUGUGUGUGUGUGUGUGUGUGUGUGUGUGUGUGUGUGUGUCUCCCUGAGUAUGUGUUUAUAGGUGAAAGGAGGAAGGAAAUAAAGGGGCAUGGCAAUGGAAGGAAGAAAAGGAGAAAAAUAGUUGACGGGUGCAGGCGGGAUGCAGGGCCUGAGCCAGGAGUGAUGGCGCCAUAAUGACCAGAGACUCCAGAUGGAAUACACCAAGGAGACCGGGCUCGUCUCAGAGGAAACCAUCUUCCCCGCUGAAUCUAAACUCGGAUUCCAUCAAGGCUGAAGAUUUCAGCUGUCAUCUCCUCCAAGAGAUCACCACUGCUAUUGUCCGCUGGAUAUAUGCACCAUACUUUAUGUGUCUGAAGCAGGCCGAUGCCUUUCAUUAUUAUCUGCAAAUGCAUUAGAUAGCAGAAUAAAUGACUGGGACUCCAAGUUGAUGUAAUGUGUUAAAUGUGUAUGUGUUUGAUGGUCCUGUAAAAUUUCAACCGCCUUCAAGACAUAUUUUCUAUUUCAUACUGUGCGUUGACAACCUCAUGCUUUGAGUUUUUCAGAGUGCUGUUAACAAAAAAAUAAAGUAUAUUUUCCACGUAGUGCCGUUUCAAACUGAAUUCUUUCUAUCUUUUUUAUUUUUUUACAUCUGGUGAACAAAAGAAUACACCCCCUGUAUCAAAGGAAGAUCCAUGUUGGGGAAAAUGGACCCUCUGAUCAAAGGGCCACAUGAGCCAAUCAAAAAGAAGAAUAUCAGUUGACAUAUCAAUGGAGAUGCAGGGCUACACAUAUUCCAGGCAACACAAAAGAAAUAAGAUGUCAUAUUCUUUCAAACUGCCACUGUAUUCAGACGUGUUACAUGCAUUCAAACUUUGGCUUCAAUGUAAAAGCCUAAUAAAUACAAGAUCCCUCUGUGCUCAUUAGGCAGACAGACCCGACAGCUGGGAGUGUGUUUUCCCAUUGUGCUAUAUUCGGUGCGUCUAUGUUUUUUUUUUGUGGUCUCCAAACGAGUACAACAUAGGGUUUAUUUCACUCUUUAUCACACAGUAUCCCAAC
ensembl:lncRNA